GAUGAAGAACGUAAGCGAAAUGCGAUAAGUAGUGUGAAUUGCAGAAUUCAGUGAAUCAUCGAAUCUUUGAACGCACAUUGCGCCCCUUGGUAUCCCGAGGGGCAUGCCUGUUCGAGCGUCAUUUCACCACUCAAGCCUGGCUUGGUGUUGGGCGACGUCCCCUUUGGGGACGCGCCUCGAAACGCUCGGCGGCGUGGCACCGGCUUUAAGCGUAGCAGAAUCUUUCGCUUUGGAAGUCGGGGCCCCGUCUGCCGGAAGACCUACUCGCAAGGUUGACCUCGGAUCAGGCAGGGAUACCCGCUGAACUUAAGCAUAUCAAUAAGCGGAGGA
rnacentral:misc_RNA from 1 species